AGCCCCUGUCCCAAGGCCUCCAGAUGCCCUUCAUGGAAUCGCAAUCGGAGCUGAAAAGAACUUUGGUGGGUCAACUUCCAACUCUACCAGGCUCGUGAAUCCCAUGGGAAACAUCUCCAAUAUGUGGUCAUCUGUCCUUUGAUUUAACACUACCCUGACAAAGAGCCAACCACCUCCUGACAGCCACUCCAUUUCAGAGCCCCAAUCGUUAGAAUAUUCUUCCUUGGGCUGAGCUGAGCUGAAAUCUGCCUGUUGUAACUACCACCCAUAGGUUCUAAUUUUGCCCUCUGGAGACACAUAAAAUCUCUCUUAAUGCCUCUUCAACAGGACAGUGCUUUAAGGGGCUGAAGACAAUACCCUUCACAAUUCAUCCAAAUAAAAACCUUAUUGUAUAAUACUGUAAUGAACUGGAAACUGCCAGGCAGGUGGGUCAAUAUGAGCAGAACCUUUAGAAAUGUCCCCCCUUGGUCAGGGCUGAGAGGUCAGGAUUUAAGAUAUUCAGCUCCCAAUGGCCGUGGUCAGUGUCCCAUCAUAAUAGCCACAUGAUUGGAGCCAGCCGGCCACUUGAGAUAAUAAAACUCAGUUUCUCUGGAAAGUGUUAGAGUGGGGCACAACUAGACUACAGACAUUUGUCCUUUUAUGGGGUGUGCCAAAUCAACCCCACUUUAUUAGACUAAUCAGUAUUUUAAUGCUACAAACUAACUCGAAGAACACAAGACACAAGAUAGACACAGCCACGAAGCCAGGUCAGGAACAUUCAAGAAUGUCCACAGCCAAGAUGCAGAAAUAAAAACCUCAACACACCAAAAGCAGUUGCUAGAAUCUUACUAAGGUGUCAGCUCUGGGUCUGACAACUUUAACGUGGACCUGGUGCUGACGGUGUGACGGCAAGUCCACCGCACUAACAGCACGUGACUCUUCAGCCACCAGGACAGGCACCAGCAGGGGACGCCUGGUGGACCACCUCCAAAGGGACAGCAGAAUUAGUAGAGGUCACGCCUCUUCAACUUUACCCUUAUUGACUCCAAGACAAAGUGUCCCAAGUGAAGCAAACUUGUUGCCACUUCCAUGGAUUCUAAGAAGAUGGUUUUGCUCUGAGUUAUGCCACUCUGGACUUGUCACUAUGACAAAGGGGGCAUUCCAUAUUUUAAUAGGGAGGGCAUGUACAACCCAGAAGAAGCAGUCACGUUACAGAUGGAACUCAAGAGCUUCCAAAGUACCGUCCCCUCCUGAGCAAGGAUGGCUCCAGGGAUCCUCCUCCGGGAGGACAUGGAACUCAUUGAUUUUCCAGGGCUGAGAAAGAAAUGGACUAAAUUUCCUCCCACCUUUUAGCCUUUGGGGUUCAACAAUAUGAUCUAGGGGCAUCUAGCCACUCCCUAACCCUAAUGUUCUGGUUGAGCCAAUAGAAUUCAAGCUGGAUUAAACAAUCCUGGUGGGUAAGGAAGGAUGCGGGGUGGGGUAAUGCUCGGACUAACAGUAGAGUACUCCUGAAUAUCCUUUCCUGAUUUUAAGAUUUUUUUCUUUUCUUUUUUUUUUUAAUCUACCUUCAGCACCUAGAACAGAGCUUAGCAUGUGCUAGGCGUUCAAUAAAUAUUUGCUGAAUGAAUUAACUUUACUGAAAACCUAUCUAUGAAAGAGCUUUAAAGGGUAGCCCGUGAGGUUUCCUCGAUAGCUGACCA
ensembl:lncRNA